rnacentral:rRNA from 1 species
ACACGGACCAAGGAGUCUAACAUGUAUGCGAGUCUUUGGGCUUAAACCCCCGUAAAGGCGCAAUUAAAGUGAAGGCGGCUUCGUGCAGCCUAGGCGGGAUCUCGGCGACUCUGUUUCGUCGAGCGCACCGCCGGCCCGUCCAACGACCGCUUUGCCGGCCGGGCGGAGCUAGAGCAUACACGUUGGUACCCGAAAGAUGGUGAACUAUGCCUGGGCAGGACGAGGCCAGAGGAAACUCUGGUGGAAGUCCGCAGCGAUUCUGACGUGCAAAUCGAUCGUCGGACCUGGGUAUAGGGGCGAAAGACUAAUCGAACCAUCUAGUAGCUGG